CCGAGUUGCAAAACUCCCAAACCACUGUGAACCUUACCUAUCGUUGCUUCGGCGGAUACGCCCCGGCGCUCUCGCGACCGGAACCAGGCGCCCGUCGGGGAAAAAAAACCCAAACCUUUGAAUCUCUGUGGAUUAUCUGAGUGGCGAAAGCACAAAUACAAUCA
rnacentral:misc_RNA from 1 species